rnacentral:lncRNA from 13 species
CCCCACCAGGCUGCUCCUGGGAAGGGCUGUGCAGGCCAGGAGACUGGCAGACCUCAACCAGUCCCGGAGCUGCCCUGCCGCCUGGUGGCUGCUGAGCGCCCGCCCGCCCGCCUGGCCCGCGCUCCAGGGCCUCCGCCCUCCAGCUCCCCCGCCUGCGCCCGGGAACGCGCGGAGAGCAGCAGCGCUCAAGACCGCGGCCGGGAGGUGCUGUUCGCCGCAACCUCGGCUCCAGCGCUCGGGCCGCUUCUCUCCCGGGUGCAGGCGGCUCUGCGCCGGGACCCUCUGCACGCCGUCCCCCGACGAGGCUCCCUCGGCCACAGUCCCCUCCCCUCCAUCAGACGCGCUGCAGGUCCGGAGCCUCGGUUUCCCGAGCAGGGAAAUGGGCGUGCUGUGCCCACGGGGGAAGGGAGGAGCAGGAGGCCCGCCUUCGGGGCCUGGAGGAUUCGCGCGGCCUCCGCCGUCCAAGAGAACCCCUCUCCCCUCGCGAUCCCCGGGAUUCUCUUCCCCAGUCGGUCCCCCAAGCCGGGUCUAGAACUGGAGCCUCAGCUCCCCGCCCAUCGGUGCAGCGUUCCCGGUCCCCUCCCCCUAGACCCGGAACCACCGGGUCCCUCCGCGCCUCUCCAACCCUCGCCGGAGCUUUCCUGCCCGCCCCGUCCCCUUCAACCUCCGCCCCCCGCCGGACGCCUCCCUGGCCCUUCCCGCCCGGCGGGGCAGCCUCGCGGCGGCGCCACCCGCGCCCACCCUCUUCCGCCGCGGGCUGCAGCGCGCCCGGGCCUGUCUGGGCGGCUGGCGGGGCGGCGGGGCGGGCCUGGGGCGGGCGGGGAGGCUGCGUCUGCGCGGCCCGUAGGGGCCUCCGCCGAGGCUGGAGCGAGCCCAGGCAGGCCGGGCGCUGGCGCGGGGCGAGCCGGCGGGGGCGGGAGAGCUGGCCCCGCGCUGGGGUUCCUGGGUCCCUGCACGCACGCGCGCUUCCCAGGCGCAUCGCCCUCGGCCUCCCCUCUGCCUCUUAUUUGCAAAAUCACCCCGAGGUGGGUGACGCUAUUGUUGCCACUUUUCAGAUGCGAAAGUCCAGACACAACUGAAAUUAGUAUCCAGGCUCCAGAUGCCACCCGUCCUCACGCAGAGCUGCGGUCCACACCAAGGGCGGCCUACAGAGGAUCUUGGGCCCUCAGACCUCCACCUGCUGCAGAGCUGCCGCCAGUCAAGCCCUUGUUUCCAGCUUUCCGUGCCCUAAAUAAACUUCUGUCAGGUUUGAGCCGUCAGCAUUCUAUGGUGGGUGUCGCUGCUGUGAGGCUGCCCUCGUGCACGCACGCUCCUCUCAGGGGAAGGCGAUCUGCCGUGACAUCCCCGUUAGAGAAGUUUCCCGCCUGCGUGCCCUCGCACUUCUCAUGCAGGUGGCUCCUCCAUCUGCUCCUGUGUGGUUUCUUCUUUUGGUUCCUUCAUUAUCUCUCUUUUGGUGCUGUUUCCCAGGGAAUUAACUGCUAGAAGUUUGGUCAGUCCUCAGCUCUCCUCUUCACCCUUUUCUGUAGAUUCAAACAGACACUGAACUGUUCACCUGGCAUUGGGGCAGAAGGAAGGGCAGGCUCGGCCCCUGGCCCUGAUCUACAGCAGCUGCGUGGCCUUAGGGCAGCUCCUUCCACAUUUUCUGGCCUCAUCUGCACAGAAAGGCACCUCCCUCACAGCAGGACCUGCCUUGGACGCUGUCCUUGAGGAAUGGGGGAGGAUGUACUUCUUCCUCCAGGACGGCCCUGGCUCACUCUGAGUGCUGCUUCACUGCUCAGGCUGGGUGUUGCAGCUGAAUUUCCACCUCUCGCUGGGCCUGGCAGUGCUUUCUGACAAGCAGUCUGACAUUCAGGGCACGCUUCUUGGCCAGAUCGACCCCACACCCUUGAGAAGCUCCAGCAUGAGUCUGACAAACCUCACUGAGGUUGAUACAUCCCUGCAAGGUGGGGGUCAGGCAACUCCGGGGGUGGCACAAGGGUAAAAGGGUGUGCUCCUGGGGUGCAUGGGCCACACACAGGGAGCCCCUGAUGGCCAUUCCAGAGCCACACUGUGCCUCGGGCUCCUCACCCAAUAUUUAGCUCCAGGAAGGCCUGCUCAGAGAUUGCCCCCCGCCCCAGCCGCCCCCCGGACAGAGGGUGGGACAAACUUCCAUGGGUUGGAAAGGACCUCCUGGAGGCUGCUGCUUGUAAGGUGGAAGGCUCUGUGCCUUCAAGGAGCCAGCCAGGUUCCUGUGCAGGACGUACUCUGGGCAGACGAGGAGGGGAACCACACCCAGAGGCUGGG